rnacentral:rRNA from 1 species
AAGUCGUAACAAGGUCUCCGUAGGUGAACCUGCGGAGGGAUCAUUACCGAGUUCAUGCCCUUACGGGUAGACCUCCCACCCUAUGUUAUAUUACCUUUGUUGCUUUGGCGGGCCGCCCGGCUUCGGCCAGGCUACCGGCUCCAGCUGGUAAGCGCUCGCCAGAGGACCCUCAACUCUGAAUAUCAGUGUCGUCUGAGUACUAUAAAAUAGUUAAAACUUUCAACAACGGAUCUCUUGGUUCUGGCAUCGAUGAAGAACGCAGCGAAAUGCGAUAAGUAAUGUGAAUUGCAGAAUUCAGUGAAUCAUCGAAUCUUUGAACGCACAUUGCGCCCCUUGGUAUUCCGAGGGGCAUGCCUGUUCGAGCGUCAUUACAACCCUCAAGCACUGCUUGGUAUUGGGCUCCGCUGGCUCCAGCGGGCCUUAAAAUCAGUGGCGGCGCCGUUUGGGCUCUGAGCGUAGUAAAUAUCCUCGCUAUAGAGACCAGGCGGUUCUUGUCAUCAACCCCCAACUUUCUAAGUUUGACCUCGGAUCAGGUAGGGAUACCCGCUGAACUUAAGCAUAUCAAUAAGCGGAGG